UAGACUAUGGUAAGACUGGAAGCCAAAAGC
rnacentral:piRNA from 1 species